GGAAGUAAAGGUCGUAACAAGGGCUCCGUUGGUGAACCAGCGGAGGGAUCAUUAUCGAGUUUAUAACUCCCAAACCCUAUGUGAACUUACCACUUGUUGCUUCGGCGCGCGCUUCGGUGCCGCCGAGGACACUUAAACUCUUUGUUUUUAUAAGCAUUUCUGAGUGGCCGAAAGGCAAAAUACAAAUGAAUCAAAACUUUCAACAACGGAUCUCUUGGUUCUG
rnacentral:misc_RNA from 1 species